rnacentral:rRNA from 1 species
UGCAGUCGAGCGGUAGGCCUUUCGGGGUACACGAGCGGCGAACGGGUGAGUAACACGUGGGUGAUCUGCCCUGCACUUCGGGAUAAGCCUGGGAAACUGGGUCUAAUACCGGAUAUGACUUCCGGUUGCAUGACGUGGGGUGGAAAGAUUUAUCGGUGCAGGAUGGGCCCGCGGCCUAUCAGCUUGUUGGUGGGGUAAUGGCCUACCAAGGCGACGACGGGUAGCCGACCUGAGAGGGUGACCGGCCACACUGGGACUGAGACACGGCCCAGACUCCUACGGGAGGCAGCAGUGGGGAAUAUUGCACAAUGGGCGAAAGCCUGAUGCAGCGACGCCGCGUGAGGGAUGACGGCCUUCGGGUUGUAAACCUCUUUCAGCAGGGACGAAGCGCAAGUGACGGUACCUGCAGAAGAAGCACCGGCUAACUACGUGCCAGCAGCCGCGGUAAUACGUAGGGUGCAAGCGUUGUCCGGAAUUACUGGGCGUAAAGAGUUCGUAGGCGGUUUGUCGCGUCGUUUGUGAAAACCAGCAGCUCAACUGCUGGCUUGCAGGCGAUACGGGCAGACUUGAGUACUGCAGGGGAGACUGGAAUUCCUGGUGUAGCGGUGAAAUGCGCAAAUAUCAGGAGGAACACCGGUGGCGAAGGCGGGUCUCUGGGCAGUAACUGACGCUGAGGAACGAAGGCGU